GUGUGUAUCUGUGAGUCCCGCUAGACUCCCUCUUCCUGGGGGCCCAGUAGUUGAGUCCCCAGGCAAAAAUUCCACGGUCUCCAGUCUGGUUUUGUCACUCACAACAGCUUUUAUUAAAGACACAGAGUCAGCCCCAACUACCCCUCAAAUUCUCAGGGAGUUGAAUUUAUGUCACUAACCCCCCUGGACACAGUCCAUCCAACUGGGGCUGAUUCCUUGCCUCAAGUUGUGAAGAGUUGCUGUGGAGUCAAAGGUUGGAGAGCUGAAUCCCGCUGAAUAUGUUGAUUGGGAUCAGGACAACUUGAGAUACACAGUUUUUAAAUGGGGCUGAAGAGGCCAUAAUAGGACAUGAAAAAUGGAGGAACAGUUGAAGAUUUUUUUAAUGCAACCAAGGAGAAAAACAUCUUUGUUUUUCCGUAAAGAAAAGGAGGCGGCUGACAACAAUUUAAAACAAGUGUAAGCAAACUGAUAAAUAAAGAUGGAAAAUCUACAAACAUGACAUGAGACAGGAACAAGCAGCUCCUGGAUGUAUGCUGCCUGUUUGACAGGCAAAAAGGCAUUGAGGGAAUUAAGAGGGAGAUGAAGGAAUAUGUACAGUGAACAUGGAUGGGACUCAACCAUAAGAAAAUUCCAGAACAUACCAUAUGUGCAGGAAAAGCUGUGUGUGCAAGUCCGCAGAGGCCACAAAGAAGAAAAAGCAGCUGUAAGGAAUAGGUGGACUGCAACUAUGCCAUGUUGUGAGAGGGUGUUAAUCUGUAGUAAAUAUCAGUAAUAAGAGAACUUCUGCAGGGAAAGCUAGCGGAUGCAGAAAAGGCUUAAAGCCCAUCUCAACUUUUCAGGCACCAAGAUCCCUGAUCAUAUCUGUUUGCACCUUCUUAAAAAUAAAGUGGCUGCUGCUAAGUAUGCUUUUAAAAUGUGUGCUUCACAGGAAUUAGACUUUUGUAUUUUUCAAACUACAAAUUCUACAAUUCUCCAUUCUGAGAGUUCUACCUAACAUACAUAUUACGGACAAUUAAAAGUAGUUUUCUUGGGAGAAAGCUCUUCUGGAAGGCCCUGAGGCUGAACUAGGCCUAGCUCCACCCAAGCUUCUUGUUCCUGCCCCAGUGCUCUCUGAGAACCUUCUUUUUCGACAGAAAGUUUGGAUGGAGCUAGGCCUAGCUUUGUCUCAAAUCCUUCCAGUUGAGGCCUUUCUUCCAGGUAAGCCACAUUUGGGUAUUUGUAAGAUAAUCUGUCAGACAAAACUCCCAGAACAGAGAAUCUGUAGUCGAAAAAUCCUUAGUGCUUCAUAUAAUGUGCAGUUUGGCUCUGGGUGUGCCUUAUUUAUUCUACUCCCCAAAAAUUGAGCAAAUCAGAAGAUUGCUGUAAAGUAACAUUAAACCAGUAAGGUUCUAUUAGUAUCAACAAAAACUGUAAUUAUCAAAUCUCAGACAGUAAUACAAAAAUUACACAUUCUAGACCAGGGCCUUGUUGACGUACUAAACAAUACAACUAUAUUUGAAUCAGCCUGUCACCAUGAAACAAUCAAGUGCUGGAUCAAGUGCAUAUAUUCUCAACUGCUUCAUAAUUUUCACCCAGACCAGUCUGUGAACCUCAGAAGUUUGUGAUUGUUCAGUAUUUAAGAUUUACCAUUAAUCCAGCCAUCUUUGAGCUAGCCCUCUGCCUCUAAUAUAGAAAUUGCAAUUGUAAUAUCUGAAGUUUUUUUCCAUUGCCUCCAAUCAUAAUCAGAAUACAUCUUGAAUUAAUAUUUGUUGAGACUUGAGUGAAGUGUUUUGUUUUGCAUUUUCAUACAAAGUCUUCAAUGCAUUACUUCUGAAGUGCAAUUGAGCAAAUGGCUUAAGACGGAUUAGUACACUCAAAAUACUACAAUAUGUAAUU